GCUGGCGGCAUGCCUAACACAUGCAAGUCGAACGAAGCCUUCGGGCUUAGUGGCGCACGGGUGCGUAACGCGUGGGAAUCUGCCCUUGGGUUCGGAAUAACCGUUGGAAACGACGGCUAAUACCGGAUGAUAUCGAGAGAUCAAAGAUUUAUCGCCCUGGGAUGAGCCCGCGUCAGAUUAGGUAGUUGGUGAGGUAACGGCUCACCAAGCCGACGAUCUGUAGCUGGUCUGAGAGGACGACCAGCCACACUGGGACUGAGACACGGCCCAGACUACUACGGGAGGCAGCAGUGGGGAA
rnacentral:rRNA from 1 species